GGGAUAACUUCGGGAAACCGGAGCUAAUACCGGAUAAUAUUUUGAACCGCAUGGUUCAAAAGUGAAAGACGGUCUUGCUGUCACUUAUAGAUGGAUCCGCGCUGCAUUAGCUAGUUGGUAAGGUAACGGCUUACCAAGGCAACGAUGCAUAGCCGACCUGAGAGGGUGAUCGGCCACACUGGAACUGAGACACGGUCCAGACUCCUACGGGAGGCAGCAGUAGGGAAUCUUCCGCAAUGGGCGAAAGCCUGACGGAGCAACGCCGCGUGAGUGAUGAAGGUCUUCGGAUCGUAAAACUCUGUUAUUAGGGAAGAACAUAUGUGUAAGUAACUGUGCACAUCUUGACGGUACCUAAUCAGAAAGCCACGGCUAACUACGUGCCAGCAGCCGCGGUAAUACGUAGGUGGCAAGCGUUAUCCGGAAUUAUUGGGCGUAAAGCGCGCGUAGGCGGUUUUUUAAGUCUGAUGUGAAAGCCCACGGCUCAACCGUGGAGGGUCAUUGGAAACUGGAAAACUUGAGUGCAGAAGAGGAAAGUGGAAUUCCAUGUGUAGCGGUGAAAUGCGCAGAGAUAUGGAGGAACACCAGUGGCGAAGGCGACUUUCUGGUCUGUAACUGACGCUGAUGUGCGAAAGCGUGGGGAUCAAACAGGAUUAGAUACCCUGGUAGUCCACGCCGUAAACGAUGAGUGCUAAGUGUUAGGGGGUUUCCGCCCCUUAGUGCUGCAGCUAACGCAUUAAGCACUCCGCCUGGGGAGUACGACCGCAAGGUUGAAACUCAAAGGAAUUGACGGGGACCCGCACAAGCGGUGGAGCAUGUGGUUUAAUUCGAAGCAACGCGAAGAACCUUACCAAAUCUUGACAUCCUUUGACAACUCUAGAGAUAGAGCCUUCCCCUUCGGGGGACAAAGUGACAGGUGGUGCAUGGUUGUCGUCAGCUCGUGUCGUGAGAUGUUGGGUUAAGUCCCGCAACGAGCGCAACCCUUAAGCUUAGUUGCCAUCAUUAAGUUGGGCACUCUAAGUUGACUGCCGGUGACAAACCGGAGGAAGGUGGGGAUGACGUCAAAUCAUCAUGCCCCUUAUGAUUUGGGCUACACACGUGCUACAAUGGACAAUACAAAGGGCAGCGAAACCGCGAGGUCAAGCAAAUCCCA
rnacentral:rRNA from 1 species